ACCUGACAUUGGGGCACUGUAUCAAUGUACUGUAAGUAAUGCUCCCUGAUAAUCCCCUGUUGGUUGGGGCUUGUGACUGGGCAGAAUGGAGGUCAGGACUGAGAGUUGAGUAUGAGCUCUUGAGAGAGAAGCCGGAGGUAAGAGUCACCAUCCUUGUAACAAAGUGUUGUCUCUUUAAAACAUAUGACUUAAGAGGCAAAACAGGAGUCCUGGGUACUGAGUUCAGGCUAGCCAGAGAUACAUAGACCCCUGUUUCAGACAGACAAACACCAAACACUCUCCACCUAGACUGGUGUGGCUCACUGUUGAGUAACAAAGCUGUUACUAGAAGCCAGGCCUUCUGACCUUUAACUGAGACUUGGUUUGCACACAGUGCGAUGCAGAUCACAGGGAGGACAGAACCACAUGUCCUA
rnacentral:lncRNA from 1 species